AUCUUAAACAAUAAUUCAGAUAUUGAAGCCUAUUGAAGCGUUGAACAUAGGAGGAGAUUAUAUUACGAAUUAUUAUCGGAAACAUUGGAAAUGAUAACCGUAUAACGCCAUAUAUAAAACACAAAUAAGCCUUAUUCACCCGGGAUCACUUGCUCCACUCGCUCGCAAGCUAGCUCGUGUCGCAAACGGGACUGUUUACUUACGCCAUGUUGUACUUAUUUGACUGCCGAUACAUGCACGCGGUUUAAAACUGAACAAUUGACCGACAUUACUUUGUAAUGGAGUAAAUACCCUUCUACUUUGCUGUUCUUGGAUUUUUCAGAAUCAAUUCACUUCGAUUACCAACGAUUUUAUGGAGAUGAACGAGUGACCGCAAUACUGUCGGAGAUGAAUCAUUUUCUAAUCGUUAGAAAAGGUUUCCUUCGCAUGUGCUUCUUAAUUCUUGCAGCGGAAUACACAACACAGAUUCCCUUUGCCGGCGAUUUACUGAAAAUUGAGGAGUAAAUCAUGGAAUGAUUGUGAUGUUCGAGAUCUGACAUUUUCCAGUCGAAAAGGAACCUCCAUAAUUCCUAAUUCAAAAUGGAGUCCACAAACCCCUCGUUGGAAAUUUCGUUUUGGAUUUACGAUAGUUCUGGCGGGGCAUCCUCAGCAAAAGGUGCAGUAAGGCAACCACGCCCAUUUGAUCUGCAAAAUCCCUUGAAAGUUGGUGCAAAAAAAAAUAUUUUUGAAAACUUUUUUGAAUUCAAAAAAUAUUUUUGAAAACUUUUUUGAAUUCAAAAAAUAUUUUUCAAAACUUUUGAAUCAAAGAAAUAUUUCUGAACUUCAAAAAAGAUUUCAAAAAUAAAAUUCAAAAAGAUCAGGCUCACUUUUCAUACGGAUUCAUCAUCUCUGAGCUUUCACCUAUCACCUAAGCUUUUGGUCCGUUGUCAUUCAUGACUCGUGCUACCACAACCCAGUGGUUUGACACUAGUACAAUUAUUCUAGAGACAUAUUACAUGCAAUAAGUUUCUUUUUGUAACGAUAAGUUGAAAAAUAAAUAACUAUCUUUUGUCGCCAA